AUUGAACGCUGGCGGCAGGCCUAACACAUGCAAGUCGAGCGGUAGAGAGAAGCUUGCUUCUCUUGAGAGCGGCGGACGGGUGAGUAAUGCCUAGGAAUCUGCCGGGUAGUGGGGGAUAACGUUCGGAAACGGACGCUAAUACCGCAUACGUCCUGCGGGAGAAAGCAGGGGACCUUCGGGCCUUGCGCUAUCAGAUGAGCCUAGGUCGGAUUAGCUAGUUGGCGAGGUAAUGGCUCACCAAGGCGACGAUCCGUAACUGGUCUGAGAGGAUGAUCAGUCACACUGGAACUGAGACACGGUCCAGACUCCUACGGGAGGCAGCAGUGGGGAAUAUUGGACAAUGGGCGAAAGCCUGAUCCAGCCAUGCCGCGUGUGUGAAGAAGGUCUUCGGAUUGUAAAGCACUUUAAGUUGGGAGGAAGGGCAGUUACCUAAUACGUAGUUGUUUUGACGUUACCGACAGAAUAAGCACCGGCUAACUCUGUGCCAGCCGCCGCCGUAA
rnacentral:rRNA from 1 species